GAGGGGCGAGGACCGAGGAGCGCGCGGAGGAGCGGGGUGAAGGGAUUCAAACCAGAAACGGAGGGACCUCUGGUUCCCAGAGGGAGGAAAAUCCAUGAUGUCUGCUGCCCAGGGAGCUAUUGCCACCGCCUCCUUGGGAUGAAGUAUUGCCAGCUACCAACAGUUCCUUCCCAACGGCCAUCUUCCAGCCUUCUUAAACGACUCCUAGCAUCUUCGGGAGGCUCCUGAAGGACUGAAGCAAAGGAAAUCUCUGAAGGGAUUUAGUCCUUGAAAGGGAGUAGGGAUACUUAGGGUGUUCUGUGUUGAGCGCUUCUUCCUAUCUCUCCAGCUUCAUGUAUGUGUGUCUUUAUGUCCAAGCAAUUGAGCCAACAAGUCCUCAGAAUUCCUUGUGAAAAAAACGUUUUUUUUUUUUGAGACGGAUUCUCACUCUGUCGCCCAGGCUGGAGUGCAAUGGUGAAAUUCAGCUCACUGCAACCUCCGCCUCCGGGGUUCAAGCGAUUCUCCUGCCUCAGCCUCCCGAGUAGCUGGGAUUACAGUCACGCGCCACCACGCCCAGCUAAUUUUGUAUUUUUAGUAGAGACAGGAUUUCUCCUUGGUCAGGCUGGUCUGGAACUCCCGACUUCAGGUGAUCCGCCCGCCUCGGCCUCCCAAAGUGGUGGGAUUACAGGUGUGAGCCACCGUGCCCAGCCCUGAAAUAGUCUUAAUUGCUUGUUUUUCUUUUUUGUCUGAGGUGUGCUUUUUAAAAUCUCUAUGGAGAUGGAGAAGACUGACAUUCUCUGGCCUGAUGUGAAAACCUCUCAUUAAAACUGUGUCUGUGCUUUGUGGGCUGAAAGCAUGAAACACUGGAAAUUUUAAACAAACGUAUGUGAAUGUGUUAAGAAGCCAAGAGUCCGGCCCUCUUUCACCAGACUGUAUGGCCUCAGAUCAGCAAGGGAAGUAUUGAGCUUAGGGACACCAAGUAAUGGAGUGAGCAGGGAUGAGAGGGCACAUAGAAUGUGGUGAUCUCUUUCCAUGUCAAGGCUUGUGUGUUUGUGGCACUGGGGUCUUGCUGUGUCCCCAAGGCUAGAGUACAGUGGCACAAUUAUGGUUCACUGCAGCCUCAACCUCCAGGGCUCAAGUGAUCCUCCCACCUCAGUCUCCUAAGUAGCUGGGACAACAGGCUUGGGCUGCCACACCUGGCUAACUUUUUAUUUUUUUGUAGAGACGGGCCUUUGUAAUACCAGCCUUUGUUGCCCAGGCUGGUAUUGAACUCGCUCAAGCGAUCCUCCCACCUGGGCGUCCCAAAGUGCUGGGAUUAUAGGAGUGAGCCACUGUGCCCAGCCUUCAGCGUCAAGACUUUCUGCACCAUCUCUACGCUGACAGCUCCGUAAUUUAUAUUUCUUUCUGGACUCAUCCCCUAACUCCAGAAUCAUAUAUCCAACUGUCUAGUAUACAUACCCAGUUGGAUGUCUAAUAGGUAUUUCUUUUUUUUGAGGUGGAGUCUUGCUCUGUUGCCCAGGCUGGAGUGCUGGAGUGCAGUGGCACGAUCUCGGCUCACUGCGAGCUCCUCCCGGGUUCACGCCAUUCUGCCUCAGCCUCCCCAGUAGCUGGGACUACAGGCGCCUGCCACUACGCCUGGCUAAUUUUUUGUAUUUUUUAGUAGAGACGUGGUUUCACUGUGUUAGUCAGGAUGGUCUCAUCUCCUGACCUCGUGAUCUGCCCGCCUCGGCCUCCCAGAGUGCUGGGAUUACAGGUGUGAACCACCGCGCCCGGCCUAGGUAUUUCAAACUUACAUCUAAAAAUCAAGCUCCCGAAUUCCUCCCACCCAAACACCCAAAUACCACUUCUACAGUCUUACUCUUUUUUUUUUUUUUUUUUGAGACGGAGUCUUGCUCUGUUGCCCAGGCUGGAGUGCAGUGGCACAAUCUCAGCCCACUGCAACCUCUCCACCUCCCGGGUUCAAGCGAUUCUCCUGCCUCAGCCUCCAGAGUAGCUGGGAUUACAGGCAUGCACCACCAUGCCCAGCUAAUUUUUGUAUUUUUAGUAGAGACGGGGUUUCACCAUGUUGGUCAGGCUGGUCUCAAACUCCUGACCUCAUGAUCCGCUCACCUCAGCCACCCAAAGCUGGGAUUACAGGCGUAAGCCACCGCGCCCAGCCCAGUCUUCCUCUCUUUGUCACCCCAUUGCCUUUCAAAAUGUAUGUCCAAGGCUGGACGUCGUGGCUCGUGCCUGUUACCCCAGCACUCUGGGAGGCCGAGGUGGGCGGAUCACAAGGUCAGGAGAUCGAGACCAUCCUGGCUAACAUGGCGAAACCCCGUCUCUACUAAAAAUACAAAAAAUUAGCCAAGCAUGGUGGCGGGCGCUUGUAGUCCCAGCUACUCGGGAGGCUGAGGCAGGAGAAUGGCGUGAACCCAGGAGGCAGAGCUUGCAGUGAGCCGAGAUCGCGCCACUGCACUCCAGCCUGGCGACAGAGUGAGAGUCCGUCUCAAAAAAAAAAAAAAAUUUAGCCGAGCCUGGUGGCAGGGGCCUGUAGUCCCAGCUACUCGGGAGGCUGAGGCAGGAGAAUGGGGUGAACCCGGGAGGCAGAGCUUGCAGUCAGCCGAGAUCCC
rnacentral:lncRNA from 10 species